ACGUAGGCAGCAAGCGUUGUUCGGAAUUACUGGGCGUAAAGAGUGUGUAGGCGGUGUUCUAAGUCUGGUGUGAAAUCUCCCGGCUCAACUGGGAGGGUGCGCUAGAAACUGGAAUGCUAGAGGAUGGGAGAGGUAAGCGGAAUUCCUGGUGUAGCGGUGAAAUGCGUAGAUAUCAGGAGGAACAUCGAUGGCGAAGGCAGCCCCCUGGGCCUGUACUGACGCUCAUGCACGAAAGCGUGGGGAGCAAACAGGA
rnacentral:rRNA from 1 species